rnacentral:rRNA from 1 species
UCGGGAAUUUUGGGCAAUGGGCGAAAGCCUGACCCAGCAACGCCGCGUGAGUGAAGAAGGCCUUCGGGUUGUAAAGCUCUUUCGGCGGGGACGAAACGGUCCGUGACAACACCACGGACUAAUGACAGUACUCGCAGAAGAAGCACCGGCUAACUACGUGCCAGCAGCCGCGGUAAUACGUAGGGUGCAGGCGUUAAUCGGAAUUACUGGGCGUAAAGCGUGCGCAGGCGGCUCCUUAAGUCAGAUGUGAAAUCCCCGGGCUUAACCUGGGAACUGCGUUUGAAACUGAGGGGCUAGAGUGUGGAAGAGGGGGGUGGAAUUCCAGGUGUAGCAGUGAAAUGCGUAGAGAUCUGGAGGAACACCGAUGGCGAAGGCAGCCCCCCGGGCUAACACUGACGCUCAUGCACGAAAGCGUGGGGAGCAAACAGGAUUAGAUACCCUAGUAGUCCCUGAGCGGGCUGGCAAGGCGCAU